rnacentral:rRNA from 1 species
GAUGAACGCUGGCGGCGUGCUUAACACAUGCAAGUCGAGCGAGUAGUUUUGAAAAGCUUCUUCGGUUGAAAUUUAAAAUGGAAAGCGGCGGAAGGGUGAGUAACGCGUAGGCAACCUGCCCCAUACAAAGGGAUAGCAUUUGGAAACGAAUAUUAAUACCUUAUGAAACUUAACUAGUGCAUGCUAGGUAGGUCAAAGAUUUAUCGGUAUGUGAUGGGCCUGCGUCUGAUUAGCUAGUUGGUGAGGUAACGGCUCACUAAGGGGACGAUCAGUAGCCGAAGUAAGGGGGUGAACGGCCACAUUGGAAGUGAGGCACGAGCCGGACACCUACGGGAGGCAGCGGUAGGGAAUAUUGCACAAGGGGGGUGACCCUGAUGCAGCAACGGCGCGUGAACGAUGAAGGCCUUUGGGUCAUGAAGUUCUGUCCUAGGGGAGGAAAACUGACAGUAACCUAGGAGAAAGCCCCGGCUAACUCCGUG